AGGAGUGGAGCUCACUAACUUGGAUGACACGUCCUGCAUGCAGCAAGUAAACCCAACCCAAGUUCAGUAUUUCAGUUGGGUUAAGGUGGCCGCACCCUUCCCCGAAUAGACUGAAGACUCGCUUUUAGUCAGCCAUGAAAAUCACAGUCAAGCUCUUGAACUUGUCAAUCAGCAGCCCUGCACCUUCUGAGCUAAACACAAAUGAGUCAUAUUUAGCUUUCUUUACAUACAGGUCUGUUCUUGGUGUUUUUUAGGGGGUUUUUUUGUGUCACAAACCCACACAGCUGAUCUUGUUGUUUUGCGCAGCUUUCAUUUUUAUUUCCCACUGUUUCCACUGAGACUGUGGCGUAAUCCCAGUGAAAUGUCUGCCUGGGUAAUCAAUGUCACCCAGCAGUUCCCAUUUGCACUGAUGGGGAGUGUGUGCAAAGCUGAUUCCUGCCGACUCCUCAGAUUCCCGUGGCCACUAAAGGAAGUGAGCUUUGUGGUACAUUUUAUGCCCAGAGGAAAAUGGAAGCUCGUCAUUAAGUUUGAUGAAUCUUCUCUAAUCCAGUGGCUUCGCCGUUCACGACAGGGACUGUAAAAGUUUUUUUUCUUUUUUUAUGUUGCAUUUAAUUUCACAGGAUAAUUGUUCAGCUUAAAGGAGAUCAUCAGGUAAAAAGAGGACAGGGAGGUGAUGGGUGUAGAGUUUUGUUCAGACCAGGUGGUACGACUGACAAGUUAGCUGUGAUUUAUGUAAGUGUUCAGUCUAACAAAAUGCUUUAGACGAUGGUGCAUAACGUCCAUUAUUCUAAAUGUCAGGACUCUUUCAACAGUGUUCAACAAUUUGAUGCAUGACUUAGUUUAAGGUCUAGCCAUGUUUUCAUUCCAGGUCUAGUCCAGUAAUAAUUCAAAGUGAUGAAGUUUGAAUAAGUCUGAGAAAUAUUUUCUUAAAUCUUUAAAAUUCUGUAUAAAAAAAACAACUUAUCUUCACAAAAUAAAAAUAAAAAACAGUUUCUAUUCUUCCAUUAUUAAAUUUCUGGAAUAAUCUGUAUUUACAUUAUAGUCCUGGCAAAAAUAUUGAACAGCAGUGUUUGUGCACUUUCUAUGUAUUUGAGCUGAAUAUUUUGACCAAUUUCUCACCUGUUUUGUAAAUGUUUUAAGCUUCCGAAAGCUUCAAUCCGCACGUCAAACUUACUAUUUGGUGAGAGUAACAAUUUAACGCAGAGACGACAAACCUCCAGCUAGUUGUCCCUCCUUUCCUUGCCAUGAUCUAAAUGUUGAUUUAUUUCCACAUUUUGUCCACAAGACUCACAGGACACUACAGUUCCUUCAGUUUCUGCUUUGUUGUCGCACUUAAAUAUUUCUGAUCAUGAGACUAUUUUAAUAGGAUAAAAAAAACAACACUGAUGAAUAAAAAAAAAGUACAGUUGUCAGACGGUGAUUUGGUUUAUUAUGGGAAAAGGCAAAACAAUUUGUGCAGAAGUUAUUUCUGUGUGGAAAGGAAUCGCUACUCUCAUUAAAUCUGUGAUUAUCCAUUAGGGUUUUUGUUGGUUAAAUUUCACUUGUCAACGCCCGGACCUGCUUCCUAGCGUGUUUGUUUUAGAUUUCCCUACUAAAGCAGAAAAUAAUCGACGCAGAAAAAUAUCUACGAUGACAGGAUGAAUGUUUGCAAUUGAUAGAUUAGUACUCAACCCUGUCCAGACCACAUUUAUUCAACAUAAACUACUGUUUAAACAUAUUUUAGUCAUUUUUUUUGGUACGGACUACAAUUUAUGUCCUGCUAUGCUUAUGAGGAAAAAAGCCACAACAUAAUGCAUGCAGAAUUAAGAAAGAAACUUAAUAAAACAAAUAUUCGAUAGAUGCAAAACAAAGCUAGCCAGGUCUUCUUAAAGAAAACUUUUGUUGAAUCUCAAGUAUUAAAACCUUACAUUAAAGCUACAUUCUUCCAUUUUUAGCUAAAGAUAAUUGUUUUACUAGAUCAGACAAGUUAGAAACCAUAACCCUAUGUUCGAUAAUUAAUGCAUAGGGUUUUGUGUAUCCUCAUCUGCAAAGGAUACUAAAACAAAUACUUGUUUGACGGUACAUGUAACUACUAACAGUGAUUUGAUGCAAAAGGAAACAAAGCCAGUCGUCCAAAAUGUACUAAAACUAGAAAGUACAUGAGAAUUAAAUAAAGUCAAAGGAAUUUAAUUUGCACCUUUCUGAAAACAUUUUAAGCCGUAUAUCUUAAUGCAACUUGAUAUUUCAUAACAGAAUUGAGAGAUGGUGAAACGUUAAGUUGGUACUUAUUCUCAAGACAGACGAUGAUCAUUACUUUGAAACACCUUUCAGAGUAAUGCUUCCACACCAUGAAAUAAAAGAUGUAAUUUUCCCUGCAAAUCUGGGGAAUUUAACUCAGCAUCAUCAGAAUUGUGAGGUUCCACUUUAUUUUUGAGACACAUCUGUCACGUUUUUUUAAUGCGUCGACGCUGAAAACAAAACUGCAGCGGGGUACCAACGCCAAAGCCUCCAGCUCUCCUUUUAGUCUCCAUAGUGAUGUCAAUAUCCCUUUCAUCUUCGCGUCUCAAAGGCUGACCAGAUUUCGUGAUGUGGCCGCUUUAUUGAGCCGGAUCUGCUUUCCUUGCCCCCUCUUUGCCGUUCAAUCAGCAUCCAUGCGGUUGUGGCCUGUGGCUCCGAGCUCGCUGCGUAAUUUGGUUUAGAGCUGAGCGGGAACAUCUGUUUCACAAAGCUGCAGCUCCUUCCACUCCUCGGGCCUCAUGGAGCGAAGCGAGAAACUCAGAACCUGCCGGUCCAAACCCUCUCAAGACCAAUCUGAGCCCUGAGAGGAGAAGAGUGACAGCGCUUUGAAGUGCGGGGUGAAAAUGUGCGAAGUUGGGGCAGGGUUUAUUGCUCAGCUGGCGCCGGUAAUGAAAAAUACUCUUUACUGGCUUCAUACGGAGAGUUGUAGGUUUGAGACGUGUUCUAAAGCCACACAAGCAGCAGAGUUUUAAUUUUUAGUUUUGAGAAACAAAUACGUCUUACUUCUAAUAUAUAAAUAUCACAUUGAUUCACAGCAACUGAGCGCUACAAAACCUGCAUAGUCGCCACAUUUGCACAAUAUUCGCUCCAUUGUAAUUGUGUAUUGAAUUUUUUAAAAAUGUAUUAUUUUGAAUAUUUAGUUUAAAGCUCUAUUUAUCUCCACCCCAAGUGUGGUUGUGUCGUCUGUCUAAGCCCAAGAGGACAAUAAAGCUCUUGACUUGACAAAAGAAAUAUUUAUAUUUGAUUUAUAAUAUUUAUUUCUUAAAUCAGGAGUUGAUCAUCCAGUUUCUCCUUCCCAACAAGUACAAUCAUAGAAAGCCAUGACUAAAUGUGCUCUCCAUGAAGCAAGAAAGAAUGCUAUAAAACUUUGUGCCAAUUUUUAUGUUUUGCUUUUCUGUGUGAGGAUGGAUAGGUUGCAAAUCAUUCAGGACUGAAUGAUUUGGUUGAGUUUAGGAAAACGUUUGGUUUUCUGGCUCCUGGGUUUCAACUUCUGCAAUUUUUCCAAAAUACAAAAAAAAAUAAAUAAAUAAUAAUAAUAAUGUUGGAAUACAAGUAAAAAAAAAGUUAUUUGUCUUCUUGUUGAAAUACUCCAGUUUUAUAACCACCGACUGCUCGAAACCAGUGUAUUAUUAUGAGAACACGUAAGCCUGGGGCAGCUGCUGGGAUGGCUGUGGAUUCUUGUUUUUAACAGUCGCCUGGAGUGCUCCUCUUACAGAAAGCCCGUCUCAUCGCUUUGGAAACUUUCUGCAACCGAACCCUAAUAAUCACCCUCAGAACAUCUUUCACCACACAAUUAGUUAAGUGGUCACAAUUCUCAGUCCAGAGCACAACAAGAAGGAGAGAGAGAGGAUUAAGAAAAGAGGAGAGAGGGAAAAACUCUCACAUAUAUUCCCAAGGUUGACAACAAAGUCGGAGCAGAUGGCCAGCAUCCAGGCCUCGGGAGAAAACUCGUGUUGUUAUUGGUAAUUGUAUUUUAACGGCUCAAAACGUUAGCGCAAAGAAAAGGUACUUUGAAAAAGUGUGGUGUCUUUUUUCAUUGUUUUGACUGGAACAUGUUAUUUAUUCAUUAAAAACAAAACAAAUGUUUAAUAAGAGAAUCUAAGUUGACAGUCUGGCUGCCUCUGUCGUUUUAUAUCUCAUAACCUCUGGCGGUUCUCCCGUGUAUCCGCUGUGUGCUAUCUGAAAUCUGAUAAAGAGGAAACAGCUGUUCUCAGGGCUGCUGUAGAUUUUGAAAGAGCUGCCUCCUCCACAUGUGUUCGCACUGGCAUCAGAAAAAAAAAAAAUCUCCCUACAAUGACCCUUUUUCUAAGUCGUAUUGCAGAGGGGGGAAAAAAAAAUAACAUAAUCGAGUCAAGGUGAAAGGGCAUUCUACACUUAAUUAUAAAAGAACUCAUGAAUUUAGUUUUCCACAGUUGUUUGUGCUCCGUUUUGUUUUAUUUAUCCUAUUUCCACUCUGCUUUAUGUUUGCUGAAUCUUUUUGUCUUUAUGUCUUUAUUUAGAGAAAAGGCAUGAUGUAAAACCAUAACAGACAAGAAGACAUCAUCCUGGAUAAAAUUCAGAAAUAAUAGCGGUUUCUUGACUUGAGGGGCAUGAAGAAGGUUACAUGCAAAUUUUUUCUUCUUGUCCUGGAUAAAACAGACAGAUCAUGAUUGACGGGGUGCAACUGUAACCAUAACACUGGAUAUUUAUCAUUAACGAUUGAAUGUGGAAUGGUACACUGAAAGCUAGCCAAGUAAACCAGGAUGUGUUCUUGGGGGAGUUUUUUUUUUCCUUUGAGUAGAAAGAAGAGCUUCCUGAUGUUGCCAAUGGAUGAACUCAUGCUCUGCAUGAAUGAAAAAUACCAGAUACUGAACGACCGGCUCAGUGCACAUCUGGCGGUUUCUGUUCGGGUACAUCCCUCGGGAAUCCAUCCUUUGCGUGAACGUGCCCAGAUCUCUGUCCGCUGGGGAUGUCUAAAUGAAGUCCAAAGUUUCAGAUUGAAUUACUUUUUUAAAUGAUCUGUACCAUAUCUGCCCUUAUUCUUACUUGUAUAGGAAAGUAUGCCACCUUACAAAUAUGCUAUUCCAAUUUUCCUAAGCUUUUGACAAAGCAAACAUGACCUCCAUCAAAGCAAGGUUGCCACCAAUUUCUUGGGCACGUCCAAAAACACAACAGCAGCUCUGACAUGUUGCUUAAACUCUUGCUCAAAUAACGUGCCACGUAUUUACACAAAGUUCCUCCUUGGAGCUGCAGACUCCAGCUGAGUUUACACAUCACUGAGUACCCCACCUCCCACCUCUCACCCACUCAGCCCCUUCAGACUAGCCAGCAGAAAUUAGUACCAUCUGCUGAGCUCUUUAUACAAGCUACUGAUGAGUCCAGCGCACCUAAGAAUGGUUGUUAACAGCAUAAAGGAUAAUUUCUGAUUUCUUUAAAGUUGUUGUUGAUAUACACAGCAGAAGGCGGCAUAUUUACUUGAUUGUGGUGAAAAAUGGCACGAUGUGCCUGGAAAAACAAAUUGCCGCUCCUUUAAACAAACGUACGCAAAAGGGAUACGACAUGCAGCAAAGGUCCUGAGAUUAGAAACACUGUAAACUAAACUAGAGGAUACUUCACCCUUAAUAUUGACGUACACAACAAAAGACAGACUAUACUUAUAUUUUUCUCUCUUUGUCAUUUGACCGGCCCUGCAUGCUGUGGUCAGAAAGCUGUUAUUGCGGGGGGGAGCCAAACGGAGAGAAGCUGAAACCCUAGUUAUUAAGUUUAAUGACGUUCAAAACAAAGCACUGAAUUUAUGAAGCAGGAGAACAAGUUUUCUGUAAAAAACUAGAACUGCGUUGGACAUGUUUACCCCUUCAGCAAGUAAAGGUGUCUGGCAGAAGCCAUAGCUGGAUACUACAGUAACGUCGCACUGAUUUAGACAAAUCUUGUUGGACAAUAAGAUGCAUUGCUGUCAAGAUAAAUAGAUAUUUGCUGGAAACCUUUUAGUGAGUUAGUUAAAUGCGACAUUAUUUAUCAUCCUGGCAGCUGAUUGGACCUUCCAGAUAAACUGGCUGGCACAUUAUACAAUCUUUUACGAGGUGUCUCUUGCUCCACGUUGCAGGUGUGUGCAAGUGCAAAAGGAAUAAUAAUCCUUCACUCGUUGAGAUGCAGCUCAUCUGAGUCAAGGCAUUCUUGUAAUUUCUGUCGUUUAUUACAUUGUGGGAGGUUUUCCUUUUCUUUCUGUCAGCAUGAUGAGCUGCAUGUCUUUAAUCAAGUGUUGGUGUCACUCACAGUUCAGGUACCCUAAAGUUUAUACACACUGGUUAAACCACUCCUCUUGGUAAUUUUCUGUUCCUAUAGAGUCAGGUCGCUUGACUUGACAGUAUGCAAACCCAAUCGCUGCAGGAUUAGUUUCAACCACUUUGGAAACUUGACGUUCUUCCGACAAGGAGCUCAAGUGAUUUGUGAUCAGUCAAUCAAUCAAUCAAUCAAGCAGCAGGGCACUGGAAACGCUUGUGUCAAAAUAAAAUACCAUACAGUUUUUCUCCUCAAUACAAUUGAUUUUACUGUCUGAAUGACCUGGUUACAUUUAGCCACUGACAUGUCUUCUAAUCAGACCGGGCCUUUGCAUGCAUGCAGAUGAAGCUAAAAGUGGAGCCGGACCAUUUCAACCGGAUCACGUCAUCGGCUUUCUUGACGUAUCUCCAUACAGGAAGACAUCUGUGGUAACAGCGAUUAGUGUUCAUAGCUACAGAUUGCGAGUCCAGGGCUGAAUCUCAUUCUCCUGCUGUCACCGCUAUGCGCACACCUACUCAUGUCAACUGGUUUUUCUCCAGGAUCGCCCUGCAUGUAACUCCAUCCAUCUCCUCACCAAUUCUGUCAAGCUUACUUGUCAGUGCUAAAGAAAAGCCUCGCUUAUAGAAUGAUGCGGCCACCACCGUGCUUUAAACAAGAUUAACUUACACACAGGUGGAUUCUGGAUUUUCUUUAGUAGCUGUCCGAGUUAUGUGAGCUCAAUGCUUUCAUAUUUUUACAUUAAAACAAGUUCAGACCAGAGGCAAAUUUUCAUUCCACUUUACAAUAAAAAUUUGUAUUUUUAUUGGACAUAAUAAUAAUAAUAAUAAUAAUAAUAAUAUCAAUUUAAAAUGUGAAAACACUGCGAGCUGCUUCACGACAAACACUGACAAAUUUUAAAAUAAGCUAUAGGCCACACAGAAAUGUAUUGUUUCUUAUCUCUUUUUAAAUUUUCUCAUGUGCCACUAAGUUGUCGCUGUGCUGACAGCCGCCGAUCGCCCUCUGCACCGAUCGUUGCCUCACCCACUGCCUUCUCCUGCUCUCAGACAGCCCAUCAUUAGCUGUCUGCGCAACACCUGGAGGCAGAGGCAGCGAGAUAAUUAUUGAGGGCAUAGCCAUGUCUGCACGCAACCAUCAUUAAGCCAUCGUACCUCAUUUGGAGCAAAGAGCGGGCCUUGUUGUUGUAAGAAGAGAGAAAGAGAGGCAGAGAGCAACAACGAGGGCCCAGGAUCAACCCCUGACAAGUCAGAUGUGAUACAACAAAUGUCUCUGAGCCUUGAGCUAAUAAAGGCAGGAAUUUGCUGUUGGUUUUUCUUCAGGCAGCAGAUCUGGAGAUGUGCCAGGUCCGAGGGAUGAAGGAAGCUUAUCCCUCAUGUUUAGCAGAGCACAAAUGCACACAUCCAGACAGAGAUGAGUUUGCUUUCUCUGCUUUAAAUAAAGACGAAUUCAGAGUAAGGCAGUCCUAAAAAGUGCCUGCUUUUGGAUGGCUUAGACAUCAGUCUGUGUUUCAGGGGAAAAUAUUGCUUGUUAUAAUUGUUAUUUCAUUUUCUGUACUGACACCGACAGGCCAUGCAGCUUGCACAAGCCAUUUGAGCUCAACAUUGAUAGAUUGGAGUGAGUGUGGAGCAUCUUUGACAUCAUUAAUGACAUCAAAAGACACAAAUUGUUGCUUUGGUCUAUUUUGAAUUUCAACUUAAGAUUUAAGACAAGCAAUGACCUGAACAAACCUUUAGGUCUGUAUUUUUAAGAGUAAAAAUGGGGCAAUAGAGAGCUAAUGCUUUAGUGAAGUAUGUAUGUAAAUUGAGAAAAAUGUGGUUGUGAAAUCUGAAAAAAAAAAUGCUUUGGACUUUGAGAUAAACAACACAGGUUCAGUAGUUUAGCACUCGAUUGUGGUUUAUUGGUAGCUCAUAAAAAGAUGACAGUGACCUUGAACCAUCUAAAUGAUUCCCUUUUAACAAGCUGUGUUCAUUGACAUCAGUUUGGCACAGAGUUUGUGCAGAAUUGUUGCUCAACAUCUGUUUUUAAACAAGUUUUACAGUUUUUUUCCCCCCAGUUUUCUCAUGAAGCUAUAAAGCAUCUCAGUGUUUUUGUCGCACAUUCAACAAGAUGUUGAAAUAAAUUUAUGCUAUCAA